rnacentral:rRNA from 1 species
GACGAACGCUGGCGGCGUGCCUAAUACAUGCAAGUCGAGCGGAUCUUCUCCCUCGGGAGAAGGUUAGCGGCGGACGGGUGAGUAACACGUAGGCAACCUGCCCCUAAGAUCGGGAUAACAUUCGGAAACGAACGCUAAGACCGGAUAAAUAAGCCGAUCGCAUGGUGGGCUUAGGAAACACGGUGCAAGCUGUGGCUUAGGGAUGGGCCUGCGGCGCAUUAGCUAGUUGGGGGGGUAACGGCUCACCAAGGUGACGAUGCGUAGCCGAGCGGAGAGGGUGAACGGCCACACUGGGACUGAGACACGGCCCAGACUCCUACGGGAGGCAGCAGUAGGGAAUCUUCCACAAUGGGCGAAAGCCUGAUAGAGCAACGCCGCGUGAGUGAGGAAGGCUUUCGGGUCGUAAAGCUCUGUUGCCAGGGAAGAAUAAGGGCUAGUUAACUGCUAGUCCGAUGACGGUACCUGAGAAGAAAGCCCCGGCUAACUACGUGCCAGCCGCCGCAGUAAAA